AUGAACACAGUGCUAACCAUGUCUGGUAUCGAUGAUGAGGAGCCACAUCAGGUUCAUCAGUUUAUGAACAGAGCAGUAGCUAUGUCAGCUAUGGAUGUUAAGGAACCACCUUCAGUGGUUUCCAUUGAUCCAUCACGGUCAGUGAAUAUAGUUGACGAGGACGAUGAUUGGGUUAUAGUCAAGAAACAGCGGAUCACCAUAUUGAUCCCUCCACUAUCACCUGCGGCUGCAAGCCCUCAAGCUGGCACACCCAAGUUAAGUUCUAGACAAGUUAGCCUACCAAGAAUGAGCAGGAGAAACUGCAAUGCUGCCACAAAGAAGCAUCCAAAACAUUUUUCUACGAAGAAAUCUUUGGAGGGCCUUGGCGUCGACGCCAAUAUCAAGAAAGCUCGAACUUGCCCUUCUGAAAGAAUUGUUCAUCAAGACGAUGCAAAGAUGAAGGGAGAAUCGUCACGAAGUGCUGCUGCCGCUGUUGUAAGGUCUGAAUGGACUAAACAUGCUGUUGAAGGAUUGUCCCAUCAAGCCGCAGAGAAAGCAACAAGUCCACUCGGAAACAUGUAUGAUCCUGGGCUGCCAGUUAUUUCUUCAAAUGUCACAAAUAAGGUACUGCGAGCACGACUUCUUCAGAGACGGGUUGCUCGGUUCGGCGGGCUGAGGAAUUGGCUUUUGACUUGCGGUCUUGGAUGGUUUGUCAAAAUAUUGGACAGUGAAGGUAUUGGGAUGUACCAGAUGGUCUCCCUUACAAUGAGCCAGCUGAAAGAGAUGGGCCUUAUUGCCGUAGGACCCCGGAGAAAAUUGAUCCAUGCUAUUGACAGUAUCUGCAAGCCCGGUCAGUUCGAGAUGUUUUCUUGA
rnacentral:rRNA from 1 species